rnacentral:lncRNA from 1 species
AUGUGGAACUGCAACCUGGAUCAAAUCCUUCCAUGGUGGUAUGUGAUUUCCCAGCGCCUUCAUGACGCCGUUCUGUUGCAGAUGUCCGAUGAACCCGACUGCUUUAGGUUCAGCCUUCAGUACGAUCCGGCCAAUAAGAGCUCAAGACAGCAGGUCCGGCCCCAACCCCCCACCACCACACCUGAAAGGGUGGGGUUCCUUAGUUUAUUCCUGAGGAAAAGGGGAAACAAAUCCUCACCUCAUGCAGACAAUUCAGCAAACAAAAUGGGUAAAUAUGAACGCAGCUCACAUUGUGUUUUUAUUCUGUUCCACUCUGGUUUCUGUUUUCUGAACUGUUAGGGAUGAGUAACGUUUGGAUUUUAUCCGGUGCUCAAUAAGAAAAAAACUCACCAUUUUUUCCCAAAAAUGUUUAAGCGUCACUCAGUAGCGUGAAGGAGAGCGCCUGCAUGUGCCUACGAUGCUUUAUGUCAUUCUAACGGUCUGCUGUGCAGCUCCGUUUUCACACACGCUAGCAUUUCAUAUCUCGUCGCCAUGACGACGUUCUUUUUUUGGAGCGUUGUACCACAUCAGUCCGAUCCAUCAGGUCGCUGAUUUGGAAUCUUUUUCUGUGAAGUUCAGACAAAUUUUCACGCACUUCCCCUUCAGCAUUUUGACUGUAGCUCCGCCCACCCACACGGCCUCAACCAUUCCUCAUGUGAUCCCGCCCACAAUCGUUGGAAAGGUAAAACAAUCCAAACUGAACAGAACGAAAUGAUUGACAUGUCCAAAAUAAAGCACAGGAAUCUGAGUUCUAUACAGUCCUGGUAGUACUGCAUACGCGGUACCAACUUGGCACCGAGUUUUGAUACCCAUCCGUAGACGCUACACCACUGGGCCACUGAGCGGGCCAAACAAAAUAAACCGGCUGAAAGAUUUGCUGGUCUUCUGAAAAAAUGUGGAAUCAUCAGCAUCAGGACUGAUGCUCAGCAGGUGGGUCACAGGCGGACCGUUUCACGCUUUUACAGCAUGGACCUGUUGGGGCCUGACGUCCACAUGUGGGGACGCCACAUUUUGGGUUAAGGCUCAUCAAACAAGAGCCUGGGUCUGAAGAAGUUCAAUAAUCCUGAGUCUUCGUGUUUUCUGACAUUCUUUUACCCUUUGACCCCCCCCCCCCUGCAGCCACACUGCCCACCUACAGUCCUCAGUCGCUCCACUCCUCAAACCAAAACAGCGGGAAAAGCAGCACU